rnacentral:rRNA from 1 species
ACAAUGAAGAGUUUGAUCCUGGCUCAGGAUGAACGCUAGCUACAGGCUUAACACAUGCAAGUCGAGGGGCAUCAGGAAGAAAGCUUGCUUUCUUUGCUGGCGACCGGCGCACGGGUGAGUAACACGUAUCCAACCUGCCCUUUACUCGGGGAUAGCCUUUCGAAAGAAAGAUUAAUACCCGAUAGUAUAAUGAUUCCGCAUGGUUUGAUUAUUAAAGGAUUCCGGUAAAGGAUGGGGAUGCGUUCCAUUAGGUUGUUGGUGAGGUAACGGCUCACCAAGCCUUCGAUGGAUAGGGGUU